UGCAUGAAGUCGGAAUCGCUAGUAAUCGCGAGUCAGCAUAUCGCGGUGAAUACGUUCCCGGGUCUUGUACACACCGCCCGUCACACCAUGGGAGUUGGCAACACCCGAAGUCGAUGAGCUAACCUUUUAGGAGGCAGUCGCCUAAGGUGGGGUUGAUAACUGGGGUGAAGUCGUAACAAGGUAAC
rnacentral:rRNA from 1 species